rnacentral:rRNA from 1 species
GUCGAACGGCAGCACGGACUUCGGUCUGGUGGCGAGUGGCGAACGGGUGAGUAAUAUAUCGGAACGUGCCCUGGAGUGGGGGAUAACGUAGCGAAAGUUACGCUAAUACCGCAUACGAUCUAAGGAUGAAAGUGGGGGAUCGCAAGACCUCAUGCUCGUGGAGCGGCCGAUAUCUGAUUAGCUAGUUGGUAGGGUAAAAGCCUACCAAGGCAUCGAUCAGUAGCUGGUCUGAGAGGACGACCAGCCACACUGGAACUGAGACACGGUCCAGACUCCUACGGGAGGCAGCAGUGGGGAAUUUUGGACAAUGGGCGAAAGCCUGAUCCAGCAAUGCCGCGUGAGUGAAGAAGGCCUUCGGGUUGUAAAGCUCUUUUGUCAGGGAAGAAACGGUGAGAGCUAAUAUCUCUUGCUAAUGACGGUACCUGAAGAAUAAGCACCGGCUAACUACGUGCCAGCAGCCGCGGUAAU